rnacentral:rRNA from 1 species
GUUUGAUCCUGGCUCAGAACGAACGCUGGCGGCGUGGAUAAGACAUGCAAGUCGAACGAGAGAAUUGCUAGCUUGCUAAUAAUUCUCUAGUGGCGCACGGGUGAGUAACACGUGAGUAACCUGCCCCCGAGAGCGGGAUAGCCCUGGGAAACUGGGAUUAAUACCGCAUAGUAUCGAAAGAUUAAAGCAGCAAUGCGCUUGGGGAUGGGCUCGCGGCCUAUUAGUUAGUUGGUGAGGUAACGGCUCACCAAGGCGAUGACGGGUAGCCGGUCUGAGAGGAUGUCCGGCCACACUGGAACUGAGACACGGUCCAGACACCUACGGGUGGCAGCAGUCGAGAAUCAUUCACAAUGGGGGAAACCCUGAUGGUGCGACGCCGCGUGGGGGAAUGAAAGUCUUCGGAUUGUAAACCCCUGUCAUGUGGGAGCAAAUUAAAAAGAUAGUACCACAAGAGGAAGAGACGGCUAACUCUGUGCCAGCAGCCGCGGUAAUACAGAGGUCUCAAGCGUUGUUCGGAAUCACUGGGCGUAAAGCGUGCGUAGGCUGUUUCGUAAGUCGUGUGUGAAAGGCGCGGGCUCAACCCGCGGACGGCACAUGAUACUGCGAGACUAGAGUAAUGGAGGGGGAACCGGAAUUCUCGGUGUAGCAGUGAAAUGCGUAGAUAUCGAGGGGAACACUCGUGGCGAAGGCGGGUUCCUGGACAUUAACUGACGCUGAGGCACGAAGGCCAGGGGAGCGAAAGGGAUUAGAUACCCCUGUAGUCCUGGCAGUAAACGGUGCACGCUUGGUGUGCGGGGAAUCGACCCCCUGCGUGCCGGAGCUAACGCGUUAAGCGUGCCGCCUGGGGAGUACGGUCGCAAGAUUAAAACUCAAAGAAAUUGACGGGGACCCGCACAAGCGGUGGAGUAUGUGGCUUAAUUCGAUGCAACGCGAAGAACCUUACCUGGGCUUGACAUGUAAUGAACAACAUGUGAAAGCAUGCGACUCUUCGGAGGCGUUACACAGGUGCUGCAUGGCCGUCGUCAGCUCGUGUCGUGAGAUGUUUGGUUAAGUCCAGCAACGAGCGCAACCCCUGUUGCCAGUUACCAGCACGUGAAGGUGGGGACUCUGGCGAGACUGCCCAGAUCAACUGGGAGGAAGGUGGGGACGACGUCAGGUCAGUAUGGCCCUUAUGCCCAGGGCUGCACACGUACUACAAUGCCCAGUACAGAGGGGGCCGAAGCCGCGAGGCGGAGGAAAUCCUAAAAACUGGGCCCAGUUCGGACUGUAGGCUGCAACCCGCCUACACGAAGCCGGAAUCGCUAGUAAUGGCGCAUCAGCUACGGCGCCGUGAAUACGUUCCCGGGUCUUGUACACACCGCCCGUCACAUCAUGGAAGCCGGUCGCACCCGAAGUAUCUGAAGCCAACCGCAAGGAGGCAGGGUCCUAAGGUGAGACUGGUAACUGGGAUGAAGUCGUAACAAGGUAACC